AGAGUUUGAUCCUGGCUCAGGAUGAACGCUGGCGGCGUGCUUAACACAUGCAAGUCGAACGAAGCACUUUAUUUGAUUUCCUUCGGGACUGAUUAUUUUGUGACUGAGUGGCGGACGGGUGAGUAACGCGUGGGUAACCUGCCUUGUACAGGGGGAUAACAGUUGGAAACGGCUGCUAAUACCGCAUAAGCGCACAGCAUCGCAUGAUGCAGUGUGAAAAACUCCGGUGGUAUAAGAUGGACCCGCGUUGGAUUAGCUAGUUGGUGAGGUAACGGCCCACCAAGGCGACGAUCCAUAGCCGACCUGAGAGGGUGACCGGCCACAUUGGGACUGAGACACGGCCCAAACUCCUACGGGAGGCAGCAGUGGGGAAUAUUGCACAAUGGGCGAAAGCCUGAUGCAGCGACGCCGCGUGAGCGAAGAAGUAUUUCGGUAUGUAAAGCUCUAUCAGCAGGGAAGAUAAUGACGGUACCUGACUAAGAAGCACCGGCUAAAUACGUGCCAGCAGCCGCGGUAAUACGUAUGGUGCAAGCGUUAUCCGGAUUUACUGGGUGUAAAGGGAGCGCAGGCGGUGCGGCAAGUCUGAUGUGAAAGCCCGGGGCUCAACCCCGGUACUGCAUUGGAAACUGUCGUACUAGAGUGUCGGAGGGGUAAGCGGAAUUCCUAGUGUAGCGGUGAAAUGCGUAGAUAUUAGGAGGAACACCAGUGGCGAAGGCGGCUUACUGGACGAUAACUGACGCUGAGGCUCGAAAGCGUGGGGAGCAANACAGGAUUAGAUACCCUGGUAGUCCACACCGUAAACGAUGAAUACUAAGGGUUGGGAAGCAUUGCUUCUCG
rnacentral:rRNA from 1 species